rnacentral:rRNA from 1 species
UGGAGAGUUUGAUCCUGGCUCAGAUUGAACGCUGGCGGCAGGCCUAACACAUGCAAGUCGAGCGGAAACGACACUAACAAUCCUUCGGGUGCGUUAAUGGGCGUCGAGCGGCGGACGGGUGAGUAAUGCCUAGGAAAUUGCCUUGAUGUGGGGGAUAACCAUUGGAAACGAUGGCUAAUACCGCAUGAUGCCUACGGGCCAAAGAGGGGGACCUUCGGGCCUCUCGCGUCAAGAUAUGCCUAGGUGGGAUUAGCUAGUUGGUGAGGUAAUGGCUCACCAAGGCGACGAUCCCUAGCUGGUCUGAGAGGAUGAUCAGCCACACUGGAACUGAGACACGGUCCAGACUCCUACGGGAGGCAGCAGUGGGGAAUAUUGCACAAUGGGCGAAAGCCUGAUGCAGCCAUGCCGCGUGUAUGAAGAAGGCCUUCGGGUUGUAAAGUACUUUCAGUUGUGAGGAAGGGUGUGUAGUUAAUAGCUGCGCAUCUUGACGUUAGCAACAGAAGAAGCACCGGCUAACUCCGUGCCAGCAGCCGCGGUA